GGUAGAAUGGCUGAGAGAUAGGCGAUAAAUUGUAAAUUUAUUUACGAAUUAGAUUCUUCUACCA
rnacentral:tRNA from 3 species